rnacentral:rRNA from 1 species
UACGAAGGGGGCUAGCGUUGUUCGGAAUUACUGGGCGUAAAGGGCGCGCAGGCGGCCCUCCAAGUCAGGCGUGAAAGCCCCGGGCUCAACCCGGGAACAGCGCUUGAGACUGGGGGGCUUGAGUUCGGGAGAGGAGAGUGGAAUUCCCAGUGUAGAGGUGAAAUUCGUAGAUAUUGGGAAGAACACCGGUGGCGAAGGCGGCUCUCUGGGACGGUACUGACGCUGAGACGCGAAAGCGUGGGGAGCGAACAGG